CCUGCGGGGAGGAAAACGGAGCUGAGGGUCCUCGAAAACCCAACCCCGAAUAACAGCAGGGAUUGUGGGAGGGAUAGAGAGCCCAGCGCUGAGAGCGGAAAGAGGGACGUGCAGCUCCAAGCGAGGGGUUGCUCAUCUCCAGCCAGUAGUCGGGAUAUUUUCCCUUCUUUCCCUGUCUCUGGUCGAGGGAGAAGGUUUUGGAGAGGACACGGAGGCCACAGCGAUGCAGGGACGAGGCAGCGCUGGCACAGACAGCACCAUCAAUGUGUGCGGAGGCUGCCGGCGCCCGCCGUAAUCCACAACACAUUUCUGAGUGUCGAGGCGCGUCCUUUCCAGCCCGGCUUGGAAAACACAAGCAGCCGGCCAGGCUCCCACCGGAGAGCAUCUCCUCCCGAGCGAGCCGAGCCGUUAUGAACCCUGUCCCUAGAACAACCCAAGCAAUUCAACUUGCAAAUUUUGGGAACCACAACCUCAUCAGUGGUUCCCAGCUUCCCUCAGAACAAGCAAAGGCACGGAUUUGUCACCCACGCACGGAGCAGCAGCUCCAGUUUACACAUGGAGGAAGCCACAUCUGAACAGUUUGCCCCAAAAUCACAAUUCAGACAAGACUGAGGUGGAGAGCAGCUGCCACAGUCCCACAGCCCCAAGAAAGUCCCCGUACUUCUGCCUGGCUGCUCCUCACCUGC